CCUACGGGUGGCUGCAGUGGGGAAUAUUGCACAAUGGGGGAAACCCUGAUGCAGCGACGCCGCGUGAGCGAUGAAGCAUUUCGGUCUGUAAAGCUCUAUCAGCAGGGAAGAAAAUUACGGUACCUGACUAAGACGCCCCGGCUAACUACGUGCCAGUCGCCGCGGUCCUACGUAGGGGGCAAGCGUUAUCCGGAUUUACUGGGUGUAACGGGAGCGUAGACGGUGCAGCAAGUCUGAUGUGAAAGGUCGGGGCCCAACCCCGGGACUGCAUUGGAAACUGUUGAACUGGAGUACAGGAGAGGUAAGCGGAAUUCCUAGUGUAGCGGUGAAAUGCGUAGAUAUUAGGAGGAACACCAGUGGCGAAGGCGGCUUACUGGACUGUAACUGACGUUGAGGCUCGAAAGCGUGGGGAGCAAACAGGAUUAGAUACCCGAGUAGUC
rnacentral:rRNA from 1 species